rnacentral:rRNA from 1 species
UGCCAGCAGCCGCGGUAAUACGUAGGUCCCGAGCGUUGUCCGGAUUUAUUGGGCGUAAAGCGAGCGCAGGUGGUUUAUUAAGUCUGGUGUAAAAGGCAGUGGCUCAACCAUUGUAUGCAUUGGAAACUGGUAGACUUGAGUGCAGGAGAGGAGAGUGGAAUUCCAUGUGUAGCGGUGAAAUGCGUAGAUAUAUGGAGGAACACCGGUGGCGAAAGCGGCUCUCUGGCCUGUAACUGACACUGAGGCUCGAAAGCGUGGGGAGCAAACAGGAUUAGAUA